ACCACAGACGCUUUCAAUGCUUACAGCCUCGUAAGAUUUCUUAACUGUGGACACAGGAUAAAAGAAAAGAUCAGCACAGCUGAGCCCACUUCGCAUGAAAUAACAGCUCUGAGAAAUCUGAAAUGAAAGACCAGCAGACUAUUUUGGUUUAAGAACCCCUGAGCUCCACAAUGAACAGUUGAAUAUAUGCCUGACAUAGCCGGGCUGCAGCGGCCGGCCAAUUCCAAAUCAUCUGUAGGGGCUUCUGAGGUUAGAGGCAGGACAACAGGAAAAUUACAGAUUUCCAACAUCCACAGUUCUUUGAUUUGUUCCACAAAGAAGGAACCCUUUUUAAAUUAACCUUGGUGCAACCAACUGAAGGGGUGGAUGAAUAAAGAAGAUUUUCCAAGCGGAGGCAUGAAAAUCACGCUCCUAUUCCCUGGAGAUGACCUGGGGAGCAAUCAAUUCCCCACAUCAUACAUAUGACAAUUUAUGAGAUAGACUAAAUUAUUGAUUUCAUUCAGUCCUUAAGAAGCAACUUCAAUGUUGAAUACAUUCGCAUGUUAAUUACCAAUCAUCUUAAUGUGUUUAUUUUCUUAAAUUAGCAUGUAAUUGCUUUAUAUUUAAAUGUACCACUUUUCUAAAUCUAAUGGCCCAUGUGAAGGUGGCUUUAGAAGUGGCUGGGCGGUUAGGUGGAAUAUUUCAUAAAUUUGCAUGUCGAGUAAUCUAAGCAACACAGCCUGCCUUGGAUUAAGCUUGCCAGAGAUAGGCUCAGAGAGGGUACGGGAGAUCUUUCCAGCUGGACAGGCCCCUUGACUGGCUGUGAUCUCAGCUGAGACUGAACCCCACAAGUUUCCUGAAAUGUGCCUUUAAAUCUCAGGCAGUUGUCCUGGAGCUGGAGGUGCUGCUCGGUGGCAGCUCCUGUUGGAAGCAUAUCACUCCACACUGAAGGCCUGGCAAAGGUGGGCCAAUUUACUUUCAAAAAAUGAGAGGAGUUCAAAGUGCCUUUCGAUCUUAAAGUGCCGUCAAAUUCUAUUUUCUAAUCACUUGGGUCACACGGGCAUCACUGACUGGUCCAGCAAUUUUUGUUGCCCAAGUCUGGUUGCCCUUAAGAAGGAGGGGAUGAAUUGCCCACAGCAACUGUGCCCUCUACCCAUGCCAGGGCCUCCAGUUACCUAUAUCCUGAGUGCCUCUUGCUCUGUACAGCCUGGCCUCUGUCCUUAACUGGACAGGGUCACUGGAGGGACCUGUUAACUGAAACAUUGUGCAGCUAAGGGGAUCUCAGAAAGCUUUGGGUUGAUGAUGUUGAAAUGGUACCAACCUGUGUUCAAAGCUAAAAUGUUUGAUAUUGUACUCAAAUGGUUGGAUAAUCUCUAAAUAUGAUAGCAUGUCAAACCUCGUCCAACAACCAUGGUCCUUUAACUUUCAGAAAACACUUUUCUGAUUUUCCCAUCGCUAUAAUGGAGAUAUUUCAGCUCUACUGACAAUUUUAGAUGUGCGUCACUGAGUAUAGGAUGUGAAUUUCUACUUAAUUACAGAAGGAACCCCCACAUUUGGGGCUUGGUGUGUCAAUUGCUACCAGUUGGGGCAUGAAUUUUAUUUCUUUACCACAGCUCAUUGCUAAGUUAAUUGUGAAGCUGAAUCAUUAUAGUGUGUCAGAACAAAGAAAUGGCAUGAGUUUUGACAUGGGUUAUAGUUAUACAAUACAAAAUGAAAAUAUCUGAUAGUCACAAAAGGGAAUAACAAAUUUUAGUGAUACAGUUGUCUAUUAGCCACUUGCACAAAUAUUCAUUGCAAUAUAUGGCCAUCUGCUGUUCUUCAGUAGGACAGAAAAUUGAAGUUUUAUUCCACUCUAUCUUACAGUCAUAUUUUAUUCACACAGAUUGUUAUGAAUGUAUAAGUAUCACAUAAUAUUUAACUUUUUUUGUCCAUUGCAGAAUGCAAACGUCUUUAUGCAGUGCUAUUAUUCACAAAGCAAUAGUGUCUCUUCUCCGAAAGCUAUUAACUUGGUCUGUCAUUCAGUGCACAGCCACUUACAUACCACUGAUAAAGUGAGACAGCACGGAUGGAGGGCAACAGCAUUUAUCUUUUCUGCAGGUCAUCUUGGUGCUGCCCUUCGUGGCCUGUAGCUUUACUCUUAGGAAUUGUCAGGGCUCCAGCACAUGUUUAAUUGUGGAACUACAGUUCAACUCCACAAAAUUAAACUGUUACAUUACCUUAGUAUAUAUGACUCAAUUUUAAUAUAUUAAGAUACUGUAUGUAUAAUUAUACAGCUUGCAAUCAUUAAUUGGUUAGCAUACGGGAUAAAGAUGUUCCAAAACAGUAAUGAUUUGCAAUUUACUACAUCUUUUACAAGCAUAAUCUCAGGAUAGAUAGGUAGCCUAGCAUCUCAAUAUGGAUGGGAUUGUUUUGUGUAGAACUGUACGAACAAGGAACAGGGAUAGGCCAUUUAGCCCCACAAGCCUAUUCCACCAUUUAUUGAUGCUACAGCUGAUCUGAUUGUGACCUCAAAUCCACACUCCCACUUCGCAUUCAUAGCCGACCAACUCCUUGCUUGGCAUCUAUUUCUUAUGCCUUAAAAACAAUCAAGGGCUCAACAUCCAUUAAAUGUUUCAAAAGGCUUUCAAUCAAGUCACCUUGUAUUCUUUUGAACUCCAAAGAAUAAAAGGCUAGCUUUUUGAAUCUUCCCUCAGAAGGCAACCCACACAUUUGAGGCACUAGCCUGGUGAUCCUUCUCUGAACUGCUUCCAAUGCACUUACAUCCUUCAUGAAAUAAGAUGAUCAAUAUUUUGCUCACUUCUCCAGCUAUGAUCUCACCAAGACCUCAUAUAAUUGAAUAUAACAGUAAUAACGGUAUAACUGAAGCAUAUAACCAUUCGUUCAUACGUGCAGCUAUAACUUCAGAAUAACUUCAGGGGAUCAUAUUUUAAAUGUGGGUACUCUCAAUGCCCACACGUUGAUUGAGGAAUUGCACAUUUUCUUAGAUGUAUUCGUGGCUUCAUGGAUUGGUAUUGUUGUCACUAAGACUGGAAUCUUCAGACAUCAUCAGGGUAGUCAGCUGUGGGACUGGAAACCCUGAAAACAUUUGUUCAGAGAAGUGAGGGCUGGCCACAUACAAUCAUUGGAAUGUCAACCAAUUGUGAAAUCUCCCGCUAUUACCUCACAGUGUCCAUCGUACAGGCACCAUGUAGAAAGAUCAGCACUCAUUCCACACAACCAGAUGCAUUACUCUAGCUCUCUAAUUUGGUGUUUCCCUCCUGUCUCAGAUAACUUCAGUUGCUAACUUACCAUUCAGGACUGAAGUGUCAGAGAAGGAAAUAUCUCCUUGGGUGUUGGGUCAGAUUGUAGGUGAUGGAAGUGGCGGAGAAUGAUAUGCUGGAUGUGGAGGUUAGUGGGGUGAUAUGUGAGGACAAGGGGGGUUCUGUCUUUAUUUUUGUUGGGGAGACGGUUGUGAGGGCAGAAGUGUGGGAAAUGCAAGAGAUGCAGUUGAGGGCAUUUUUGAUCACUGUAGGGUGGAUGUUACGGUCCUUGAAAUAGGAGGACAUCUGGGAUGUUCAGGAGUGGAAUGCCCCGUCUUGGGAAAAGACGCAGCGUAUGCAGUGGAAUUGUGAGUAGGGGAUCGCAUUCCUGCAGGAGGGUGGGCGAGAGGAGGUGUAGUCUAGGUAGCUGUGGGAGUUGGUGGGCUUGAAAUGGACGUCAGUUUCGAGGUGGUGACCAGAAAUAAAGACAGGAAGGUUCGGAAGGAGGGGGAGGAAUCGGAGAUGGUCCAGGUGAAUUUGAGUUUGUAGUGAAAAGUGUUAGUAAAGUUGAUGAACUGUUCAAGCUCCUCGUGGAAGCAUAAUGCAACCUCACAUUCAACUGGACCGUCUUUUAUACCUCCCUCUCCUUCCUGGAACUGCAUGCUUACUUUCAGCAACUGAUGUACAAAGACACCUAGGUCCUGUGGCAUUUCCCCCUUUCCCAAUCUAUCACCAUUCCGAUAAUAAUCCGCCUUCGUGGUUUUGCUACCAAAGUAGAUAAGCUCACAUUUGCUCAGAUUGUUCAAAUUGAUCUGCCAUGCAUUUGUCCACUCACUCAGCUUGUCCAAUUCACGCUGAAGUAUCUCUGCAUCCAUCUCACGUCUUACCUUUCCACUCGACUUUGUGUUGUUUGCAAUCUGGGAGAUUUUGCAUUUAGUUUCCUCAUCUAAACAAUAAAUAUAUGUUUGUGAACAGUUGGGGAUCAAGCACUGACCUCUGUGGUACCCGAAUAGUCAAUGCUUGUCACAUGGAAAAGAAUUAAUUUAUUCCUACUCCUUCUUUUCUCUCUGCUGAACAGUUCUCUAUCUAUAUCAGCGUACUGUCCCAGCACCAUGCACUUUCAUUUUACAUGCUAAUACCUAAAGUGGCACCUUAUCAAAAGCCACUGAAAGGUGGAGUAAGCCACUUCCCACUUCGUAACAAAAUUGUUACAUUGUGCAGUUUCAGUCUCCUAGCCUGAGGAAGAACAUUCUUGCUAUUAAGGAAGUCCAAAGAAAGUUCAUCAGACUGAUUCCCGAGAUGGCAGGACUGACACAUGACGGGACACUGGAUUGACUGGGCUUGGACUUGCUGAAAUUUAGAAGGAUGAAGGGGGAUCUCUAAGAAACAAAUAAAAUCCUGAUGGAAUUGGACAGGCUAGAUGCAGGAAGAAUGUUCGCAAUGUUGGAGAAGUUCAGGACUUGGGGUCACAGUCUAAAAAUAAGAAGUAAGCCAUUCAGGCCUCUGAUAAGAAAGAAAUUCUUCACUCGGAGAUUUGUGAACCUCUGGAAUUCUCUCCCACAGGAAGCUAUUGAGACAGUUCAUUAGACAUAUUCAAGAGGGAGCUGUAUGUGGUCCUUGUGGCUAAAAGAGAUCAAGGGGUGUGGAGAGAAAGCAGGAGUGGGAUGCUGAAAUUGCAUGAUUGGCCAUGAUCACAUCGAAUGGUGGUGCAGGUUUGAUGGGCCAAAUGGCCUACCUCUGCACCUAUUUUCUGUGUUUCUUGAAAAAUUCCAGUAGAUUUGUUAAGCAUGAUUUCUCUUUUUUAAACCGUUCUGACUCUGUCUGAUCCUCUCAACUGUUUUCCAAGUUGUCUGCUAUCAAAUCUUUUAUAAUGGGCUCUAGCAAUUUCCCCAUAACUGAUGUCAGGCUAACUGGUCUGCAAUAGUUAGCUUUUUCUCUACCUCCUUUUUUUAAACUUCAGGGUUACAUCUCAACUCUCCAAUCUAUAGGACUGUUAUAGAGUUACAUAGAAUGUUUUAAAAAUAACCAUAAUUGGCCAUAUUCCUAGGGCCACUUCCAUAAGUACCCUGGGGUAUUGAUUAUCAGGCACUUGGGAAUUAUUGACCUUUAAUCCCAUCAGUUUCGCUAACACUAUUUUCCUUUAAUACUAAUUUCCUUCUGCUCUUCCCUCUUACUAGAAUCUGUUUCCCAUUACUUUGAGGCAUUUCUAGUGUCCUUUGUGAAGACAGAAUGAAAAUAUGUAUUUAACUGGUCUGCUGUCAUUGUCUGCUGUUAAAAACCUCCCCUGUUUCUGACUAUAAGGCACCUAUAUUUAUCUUCACUGGUCUUUUACUCUUUGUAUACCUAUAGAAGCUUCUGUAAAUCAAUUUGCAUAUUGCCUACAAAUUUACUUCUGCACUUUAUUUCUCCUCCAUUCUUAAUCAAUGCCUUUAUCUUGUUUGCUGAAAUCUAAAUUGCCCACAAUCUUC